CUACCAGUAUGAACGCGAGUCAGUUAUUUAAGUCAGGAGGAAUAAGCUGGCACAACCAAGACUAGAGCAGAACGUUUCACAGUGGUUUUGAAACAAAUGAACCAGGUUCCAGUCCCUCCUACAUGCAUGGUUCACCAUCCUGACCUCGAUCCAAACUGUUUGAAUCCAUACAACCUUCAGAUUUUCCACAACAUAUACAGAGCUGACUAUGGACGUUUGAGGCGUAGUAUAGAAGAGGAGCGAUACCGGUCACUCGACUACCGUGGUGUGGUCAGCUGGUGAUAUUUAGGACGACACAUGAGGCUCGCCAUCCCGUCAUGUGUUGUAUUUCAGAAACACAGGGAGUUUCCUGAUCCGGCUGGUCAGAAUGUUGGCUUCAGGCUGCUCCUUGACAGAAGAGGGACACAUGGCGGGCAACACUUUCUCCUUUGAGGGUCUCUCACACUGGGACGACAUCAGCUUCAUCAGUUCAUCCAAGUACUCUGUAAAAACAGCAUUUAAACAGUCAUUUUAUUGUUUUAAACUAAGUAUGGUUCCUUCCUUAUUUGU